GAAAUCCUUGGCGUCGAAGGAGAUGGCCGUGGCUGGGACUGGAACAUCCUCAUCCAGGGCACCGCAGUAGCUGACGUUGGUCCUUACAGCAAACGCCACAGGCUUAGUCUAAUGGAUGGAGAAACUCAGCAGGUUACAGAGGCUCCAACAAUCCAUAUCAAAAUGGAAGUUUGAAGACGUAACCGGACCAAACCUGCUUCGCUCUGCUGUGUUAAUCUAAACACUCAGCCACUAAUGAUGAUUCAAUUAAGGAAGACCAUUAGUCUCGAGGAGAUCCAUCAAGCUCGUUGUCAUACCCAAGCACUUUUGGCUUUUCACAAGCGAGCGGAGACAGCGCCUGACUUCAGCACGCCGCUCGUCUGCUGCGUGUUAAUCACAAAGUGGCACCUCCAGGAAAAAGACCAAUUUCAGAUAAUACACAAGUUAUUGGGGAAACUGGAAAAUCACAAAUAUCUCUGCUGGUUAUUAUCUGUUUUUUAAAGGAGCAUUCCACUAGUUCCACACAUUCAAAAUCAGUUUUUCCAGUUGUGUGACAGGAAAUGACCCAUGAUGAUGUCAUAGUGAUGUCAUCAAGGUUAUCUCCAUUUAGCAGUGGACAAUAUAAAUUGUUACGAGAAAAUCCUAUCUUACAAAAUGAUUAUGUAAGGUUUGAAAGACAAGGACGUUUAUUAGAGAGGAAGUGUGUCAUGAUAAGACACAGUUGUGUUGCAUUAUGGGAAUUGUAGGAUUCCAGUAUUUUGGGGUUUGAACCCAACACUAGAAAA